AUCCUGGCUCAGAUUGAACGCUGGCGGAAUGCUUUACACAUGCAAGUCGAGCGGCAGCGCGGGGGCAACCCUGGCGGCGAGCGGCGAACGGGUGAGUAAUACAUCGGAACGUGCCCAGUAAUGGGGGAUAACACAGCGAAAGUUGUGCUAAUACCGCAUACGCCCUGAGGGGGAAAGCGGGGGAUCGCAAGACCUCGCGUUAUUGGAGCGGCCGAUGUCGGAUUAGCUAGUUGGUGAGGUAAAGGCUCACCAAGGCGACGAUCCGUAGCGGGUCUGAGAGGACGGCCCGCCACACUGGGACUGAGACACGGCCCAGACUCCUACGGGAGGCAGCAGUGGGGAAUUUUGGACAAUGGGGGCAACCCUGAUCCAGCCAUUCCGCGUGAGUGAAGAAGGCCUUCGGGUUGUAAAGCUCUUUCGGCAGGAACGAAACGGUCGUCGCUAAUACCGAUGGCUAAUGACGGUACCUGAAGAAGAAGCACCGGCUAACUACGUGCCAGCAGCCGCGGUAAUACGUAGGGUGCGAGCGUUAAUCGGAAUUACUGGGCGUAAAGCGUGCGCAGGCGGUUUUAUAAGACAGAUGUGAAAUCCCCGGGCUUAACCUGGGAACUGCGUUUGUGACUGUAAGACUCGAGUGUGGCAGAGGGGGGUGGAAUUCC
rnacentral:rRNA from 1 species